AGGAAGGGACCCUGCAACAUGGAAGGCCCGAACGGGCUGAGACAUGAGGAAAUUCUGCCCCUGGGAAGCAGACAUGUGUUUCUUUAUUAUUAUGUCUGAUUGCAAAAGUAGAACAUCUGGAAAAUACAGACAAAGGUAAAGGGAAAAAAAUCACCAUAACCACCAAGCUCUGCCCAUCCCUGAUGUCUGCUUUCUGCUUGCACUGGCUUCUCUCAAGGUGGCAAAGUAACUGCAGCGCUGUCAGAUCUGCAUCUCGACCCCACACUGCUCAAGAGGAUCAGGUGGGAUUAGACCCAAAGUCACCAGCCCUCGCUGAUCCGUGGGCAGAGGGAACUGUGUUCUGACUGGCUGAGGCCCGGACUGCCAGACCAAUCACCUGGAGGGGCGGCAGCACUGAUCCAGUUGGCCUCUGGGGCACUGGGGGCAGGCCCCUGUGCGGUGGCUGAUGCGGUGGCGAGGCGGGGGGGCGGCCAUGGCUGAUGGGGGACACCCCAGUAGGCGGGAAGCGGGAAUGCAGUAAUUACGAGCAUGGCGUCAGAGCCAGCCUGCCAGGGUCUGAAUCCUGGCUGUGCCACUUAAGAGCUAUGUGGUCUUAAUCACUCCUCAGCCUCUUCGUGCCUCAGUUUCCUCAUCUGUAUGGUGGGGAUGGGAAUACUGGUGUACCUACCUCAUGGGCAGCUGUGGGGAUUAAUGAGUUAACUCGCGUAAAUGAGUAAGUGCUAUGGUCUCCCCCUACCUCCGCUUUCAGAUCAAAAACAGAGGCUGAAAGUUGACGCCACACACCCCAAGUCAGCAAACACUCAUUAAGCACCCACUGUAUGCCGGGUGUGGCGCUAGGUCUGCA
rnacentral:lncRNA from 1 species